AGUGAACGCUGGCGGUAGGCCUAACACAUGCAAGUCGAACGGCAGCACAGUAAGAGCUUGCUCUUACGGGUGGCGAGUGGCGGACGGGUGAGGAAUACAUCGGACUCUACUUUUUCGUGGGGGAUAAAGUAGGGAAACUUACGCUAAUACCGCAUACGACCUACGGGUGAAAGCAGGGGAUCUUCGGACCUUGCGCGAUUGAAUGAGCCGAUGUCGGAUUAGCUAGUUGGCGGGGUAAAGGCCCACCAAGGCGACGAUCCGUAGCUGGUCUGAGAGGAUGAUCAGCCACACUGGAACUGAGACACGGUCCAGACUCCUACGGGAGGCCGCAGUGGGGAAUAUUGGACAAUGGGCGCAAUCCUGAUCCAGCCAUACCGCGUGGGUGAAGAAGGGCUUCGGGUUGUAAAGCCCUUUUGUUGGGAAAGAAAAGCAGCAGGUUAAUACCCCGCUGUUCUGACGGUACCCAAAGAAGAAGCACCGGCUAACUUCGUG
rnacentral:rRNA from 1 species